GUGCUACUACAUCAAUUAAGAUUUAGUUAACUAACUCCAUUAAAUUUUCUUGAAUUAUUUUCAUGAAUUAGUUAAGAUGAUUUACAUUGUGGAUGAAUCAAAUAACUAAAGGGAAGUAAUUGAAAAAUGAGAAACCACUGUGUCUGUGUGUGAAAAAGGGGAAAAAAAAAACCUUCAUGGUUAAAACAGAAUUGAUGAAUUUCUCUGUUGAACUUAGAUUGAAGAUUUUGUAAAUGUACUUAAAUUUUUUUUUUAUCAUACUGGUGCUCAUUUAUGUAUCUCCUUGUUUUUAUAAUUUCAAUUGCAGAACAAGAAUCCAAGAAAUUGAGGACAAAUAAAUCAAUUGAACUUGAACAAAGUUGAUGAGGAUCAUUGAAAUUGAGGACAAGUAAAUCAAUUCAACCUGAACAAAGUUGAUGAGGAUCUUCUUCAGUAUGAACUUGGCUAGAUACAGAUGAAAAUUAAACUAAAAAUACUAUUACUAAUAAGAACAUGACAUAAUUAAGUAAUUAAUCUAACAUAAAGUAUUCUCUUUCACUAUAUAUAUAAAACAAAAUAGCACCCCAGAUCUAAUAUCACUACAAAUUUCAUAAUGGUGCUUAAAUCUCAGUUGUGAAGUGGAUUCGGUCCUCCAGGUGUAGUUGCAUGUGUAACAGUGUGAAGUUUACUAACCUUUUUGUCUUUAACAAUUUGUUGUGCUGAAUGAAAAUUAGGGAAUGAAGUGAAAAACCUUGAUGUUGUUGUUCUUUGUUCCUUGGAAAUGUGCCUCCAACUUGAGAGAUUUAAGUGUAUCAUCACUAGUAUAAAAAGAAGGAACAUUAUGAUUAAGGAUGAAGAUUUAUGAUGAUGAACUCUCAUAAUUUCAAGAUGAUAAGGGAAACUAAAAGGAGAGAGAGUGAAGAUGAAUAAUACACAUUGAUUUUAAUAGCACAAAAUGGAA
rnacentral:lncRNA from 1 species